CUUUGAAACAUCGGUUCCUGUACGAUCACUGAAGUUAAGCAACAUCGAGCCUGGUCAGUACCACGAAGAGUGAUCUCUUGGAAAUAUCAGAUGCUGUAA